GCGGGAAUAGCUCAGUUGGUAGAGCAUAACCUUGCCAAGGUUGGGGUCGCGGGUUCGAGUCCCGUUUCCCGCU
rnacentral:tRNA from 1 species